UGACUAAUUUUGACCACUAUAUAAGAACAAUGUCCUCUACAGUAGUACAGUCUACCCUAGCCGUUCAGAUAACAUGGCGGAGGACCGCGGUAGUGGUGGUGUGGUUAAGCGAAUUCGGAGUGACUACUUCGACGAAGAUAUAGUUUCCGAGAUACUGGCAAGGCUUCCGGUCAGAUCUUUACUUCGAUUCCGCUGUGUGUGCAAAUCAUGGCGUGCUCUGAUUGCGGAUUCGCACUUUGUGAAGAAACACUCGAGCUACGCAGAGAGAGGAAUCGGCGACAACAACUCCAAGCUCCUGUUUCUAAUGAAUCCUCCGCUAUCAAUAGACUACGAAGCACUGAAGGAUCUGAAGGAGGGUGGUGAUGGUUGGUUUGCAAGAAGAGAGCUCCACUUUCCGGUAAAGCUUGCUGCUUACCAAUUUAUGCAUGAAAGAAUUAGGAUUUUGGGUUCUUGCAAUGGGUUGAUUUGUGUUGAAUGCCAAGGGGUGGGGAUUGUCGUAUGGAACCCUUGCACCGGAGAAUACAAGGUGCUACCAAAUCCUCCUACAGAUUGCCAUCCUUCAGAUUUUUAUGGGUUUGGCUAUGACUCCACAACUGAUGAUUACAAGAUCAUAAGGGGGCGUAGGUCUUCGGAGGAGGCCCUGAUUCACGUGUUUACGCUGAAAACGGGCUCAUGGAGAACCACUCGGGAUCACGAUUAUGCCGAAUUUUGGGGUAAAGGGUGCUUAUUCAAUGGAGCUCUACAUUGGCUUGUGUCUACUUACCCAGGAUCAAGAAUUAUGUCCUUUUGUGUGGCGGAGGAGAAGUUUGAGGAGACAGUUCCGUUACUAGAUGAUUAUCAUGUUUUUCAUGGUGUAUUAGUAUAUAAAGAUCAUCUGUGUGUAUAUCAGAUCUUAGAUGGCAUCCCUGCUGUUUUAUCAGUAUGGUUGAUGGAGGAAUAUGGGGCCAAGGAAUCCUGGACUCAAGUUAUAAAGUUUUCUUUGAAGAAAUUACGUGGAGAGGAGUUGAAGCCCCUGUGCAUUUUGCAAAAUGGUGAAAUUUUGAUGCAUAGGGUUAUGUCUGAUGAUCCUUUUGAGUUUAAUGAUCCUGCUGAUGUGUUUGAUGUGGAUCUUGAUGAGUUGUAUUAUGAACAACUUAUGCAGGAUGAUCCUGAUGUGUUUAAUGAUGAUCCUGGUAUGUUUGAUGAGGAUCUUGAUGAGUUGUAUUAUGAACAACUUAUGCAGGAUGAUCCUGAUGUGUUUGAUGAUGAUCCUGGUGUGUUUGAUGAGGAUCUUGAUGAGUUGUAUUAUGAACAACUUAUGCAGGAUGAUCCUGAUGUGUUUGAUGAUGAUCCUGGUUUGUCUGAUGAAGAUCUUGAUACGUUGUAUAAUCAACAGUGUAUGUGGAAUGCAGAAAGCCUAUUGGUAUUAACUAAUCAAAAGACCUCAAAGGCUGUUUUUGAAGUUGACUUGGGUUUUGGAGCUGCCACUUACAGGCAGACUUUAGUUUCACCGGUAACAGGCAUAUGACGUCAACAUUGUGAGUCUUUCCUUCUGCUCUUCUUUUAUGUGAUUUUACUUGUGUGCAAGUUUUUGUUUAGAGCAUCAACAGCACAACGAUCACUCUUUUAAUAAUAGACUUGAGAAAUUACAUAGCUAGCUGCCUACUAACUGUACAAUGAUCACUUACUAUACUGAAGAUGGCUUCCCUGCCUGUUCUAAUUUUUCUUUAGAGUCUAUAGUAGCUUGUGACGUGUUGAUUCAAACUGUCUAUGCCUUUACCUUACCCUCUUAGUGUGACUUUUCUACUGGAAUUUUUCAAACUUCUGUCCACAACAAUAAUACUACUCGAACAGUAAUCAUUCAGUCUUUUGUCUAUUAGUUGGUUUAAAUGUGACUUGCUAAAUAUCAUUCAUUGCUACAAGUGUGAUUCAGUUAGUUGUAUGCAAUUUUUUGUUUGGUAGCAUCGGCAGCAUAGUUGUAGAUUAUAUGAGCAAGUAAUGGUAAUGAAAAGUAAUUUUUGACAAUAAACAAUUUUGAUGUUGUUAUAAAUAAUUGUUUUUUACUUAUUUGCUGGAGAUGGGCUCACAUAAAUGCUGUGUGAUUUCUCCAACACAGCUGUAACUUUUGUUUGCUUCUCUUCUUAACCAUAUGAUGAUGAGAUAAUACCAUACUUUACUUGGGCCAUUUCGCAAUGAAUUUUUUUUUUUUUAUAAGUUUGUGGUCUGUAGCCGCAGAAUUAAGAAGCAACUAGACCCCGGCUUUUUCAAAGCUGCAUUUUCUCAUCACAAGUAAGGAACCGGUACAGUAUAAUCAAUUUUCUUGUAUGCUUAAAAUAUCCUUACUCAAUUUGGAUUUUACACCUCGUGACCAUUCUAUCUUCAGCGCUUUCUUUCCUCUAUACUUUUUCUUCCCCUCCUGUGCUCUCCUCUUUGAUUAUAGGCUUUUAGAGAGUCUUUGAUUCUUUCAUCGAGCAAUUACUAUGAGUUCAGGACACAGAUAAAUCUUGUCGGCCAUGUGGAAAUGGUACUUAAAUCGAUGGCAUUUUGCAUUCGCUCUUAGUAGCCAAGACUUCUCAUGUCUAUGUCAUGUGCUCAUGGUUCCAAAAUGCUUUGUUGUUACGAAGAUGACAUAUAAGAUAGAUAUUAUUUGUAUGUAUAUUAUAUGUUCUAACGACAUUAUUUUUGGUUCUGUAAAUAUAUAAGGCGUUUAACCUAGAAGCAAAGCCUCCAGAACAGUAAGCAAAAACUAUCCUCGAGUAUGAAAAUAGGGUUUUUGUUAGGCUGCGAGUUCUUAAAUGGUCGCAACCUCCUAGUGGCAGGAUGAAACUUAGUGUCACUGAAAUUAUUUUUCGGUGGCAACAUAGUGGGAAAGCUGAUAGUAAUAGUAAAUUAUGGCUCCGCGUGAGCAAAAUCUUUCCGGUAUGUCACCACCUUUGUAAAGCGAAUAGAGUAGCCAAUGAUGCACUCUUCGCUAAUUGGUGCUUGUUAGAAUACAUAUUUUCUGUAGAGACUCUCGUUAUGAUCUCGAGUUGUUCUCUUUAUGCUUAUUGUGAUCUGGGGUUUAGGUAUCAUGUCUCCCCCAUGUAUUCUGAGGUUUCAUUAAUGGUCAAGGCUUGAGGGCAGCCGUACUGACCCUAUUUCA